rnacentral:rRNA from 1 species
CCUACGGGAGGCAGCAGUGAGGAAUAUUGGUCAAUGGGCGGAAGCCUGAACCAGCCAAGUAGCGUGAAGGAUGACUGCCCUAUGGGUUGUAAACUUCUUUUGUAAGGGAAUAAUUGUGGGUACGCGUACCCAUUUGCAUGUACCUUAUGAAUAAGGAUCGGCUAACUCCGUGCCAGCAGCCGCGGUAAUACGGAGGAUCCGAGCGUUAUCCGGAUUUAUUGGGUUUAAAGGGAGCGUAGGCGGGCGCUUAAGUCAGCUGUGAAAGUUUGGGGCUCAACCUUAAAAUUGCAGUUGAUACUGGGUGCCUUGAGUGCAGUAUAGGCAGGCGGAAUUCGUGGUGUAGCGGUGAAAUGCUUAGAUAUCACGAAGAACUCCUAUUGCGAAGGCAGCUUGCUGGAGUGUAACUGACGCUGAUGCUCGAAAGUGUGGGUAUCAAACAGGAUUAGAUACCCUUGUAGUC